CACGGUCGCGACACCCAUUCCCAUCAGCACCAGCGUCCAGAUCGUCACCACGUCGAGCGAUGUCGCCAGCGAGUAGAGUGCCUUGUUCGUCUCAACAGGAUCGAGAAAUGCGCCCAGGUUCGUCGGAGCAAAGUUCUUGAUGUUGAAUGACUCCGGCGCCAUCCCGGCAUAAAUCACAAUCGUCCCCAACAGCGCCUUUAGACUUGCCGGCAGCCACGCGUAGUACGAAACUGCAAAGAUGCUCCCGUACUUCGACUUGCCACCGAAUACAAAGUUGAUGGUGCCCCAGAGACCGAUAGCGCACAAGUA
rnacentral:rRNA from 1 species